UCCGGAAUUUUGGGCAAUGGGGGAAACCCUGACCCAGCAACGCCGCGUGAAGGAUGAAGUAUUUCGGUAUGUAAACUUCGAAAGAAUAGGAAGAAUAAAUGACGGUACUAUUUAUAAGGUCCGGCUAACUACGUGCCAGCAGCCGCGGUAAUACGUAGGGACCAAGCGUUGUUCGGAUUUACUGGGCGUAAAGGGCGCGUAGGCGGCAUGACAAGUCACUUGUGAAAUCUCUGGGCUUAACCCAGAACGGCCAAGUGAUACUGUCGCGCUAGAGUGCAGAAGGGGCAAUCGGAAUUCUUGGUGUAGCGGUGAAAUGCGUAGAUAUCAAGAGGAACACCUGAGGUGAAGACGGGUUGCUGGGCUGACACUGACGCUGAGGCGCGAAAGCCAGGGGAGCAAACGGGAUUAGAUACCCCUGUAGUCCCUGAGCGGGCUGGCAAGGCGCAU
rnacentral:rRNA from 1 species